AGGACGAACGCUGGCGGCGUGCUUAACACAUGCAAGUCGAGCAGAAAGGCCCUUCGGGGUACUCGAGCGGCGAACGGGUGAGUAACACGUGAGUAACCUGCCCCUAGCUCUGGGAUAGCUCCGGGAAACCGGGAUUAAUACCAGAUACGACCACUUUUAGACAUCUGUCGUGGUGGAAAGGAUUCCGGCUAGGGAUGGGCUCGCGGCCUAUCAGCUUGUUGGUGGGGUAACGGCCUACCAAGGCGACGACGGGUA
rnacentral:rRNA from 1 species